GAGAAACACAGUGGCCAUUCAGGUCAAAGAGUUCUGUGUCCAGCAAAACGGUUCCAUCAUUCAUAUGACUAAGCCUGUGACAGCCCUGACCCAGCAGCAGGGGACUCUUCAGUGGCACAGGUUUUCAUGGCUGCUGUCACCAUAUCUGUCCUCAGUUUGCUGUCCACAACAGUGGCAAGACUGUUACUAUUAAAUAUGUUUUGGUCCAUUUUUUUAAAAGACAGUUUUGAACUGCUUGAUACAACAGGAUUCAUUUAAGGUGCAUGUAAGUUAGAAGAUCUUUAAGGCCUGAUGAGUAUGGCAUAUUCCAGAUCCUAGUUUUUAUUCAUUUAUUUUCAAGGGUGUCAGUGUAGUUUUUUUAAGCUGUGCUGUAAACACUCAGAAAAGGCUCCUACUGCUUCUGCAUUCCCUAUAAACCUGGCAGGGCACGGAUUUCUGCAGCAUCUUAGAUAGAAAUUGAACAUCUUUAAUCUGAAGUAAAAAAUGCUCCAAAAUCUCAAACUCUUGAGAGUUUACUACACGAUCACAAAUUCCACACUUGGAAAAUUCCACAUUUCACCUAAUGGGAUGGGUUACAGUCAUCAAAAAAUACUGUAUAAAGUUACCUUCAACUAAGUGCAUAAGAUGUAUGUAUGUGAAACACCAUGAAUUUCACAUUUAGACUUAGGUCUCAUCCCCAAGACACAUCAUUAGGCAUAUGUAAAUAUUGCAAAAUCAAAAAAUCUGACACUUCUGAUCCCAAACAUUUUGGAUAGGGGCCCUAUAAUAGACUUUCUUCUGCACGUUUGAUGCAGUGUAGGCACCUGGCCACUGGCUUGCCGAGGAGGGCAGACAUCUCUUCACCUGACUGCACAAGUUGGCAGUUGCUUGAAAGGUAAAGCAAGACCCUAGUGAGCCUGAGGCCAGGUGUGAGUCACAUGGGUGCUCUGCCUGCUGCUGUCUUGUGGCUGCUUGUCCCAAAGAGGCCUAAGGAGAGUGAAGCCAAUGAGCGUUCCUUUUCGUAUAGGCAUGCUUGCAGUCAGGAGCAGUUUGCUGCCACCUAUCUCGGACCAUAAAUUGUUUUCCUAAAAUCAGGUCCUGAUAAAUGAUGCCACUGAAGCGGUGCUGGGUCACCCUGAGCUGUUCUUUCUGUCCUGCUGCAGCCUAGCCUGCUAGGACUUCCCGCAUCCUGCCCCUGUGGUUGUCUGGUUCUUCAGCUUUGGUGGUGGUUUGGAAGGUCCCCACUGGCUGGCUGAAAUCAAGUACCUUAUUCAAGGGACCUCACUGCCAGUUCUCAGAGAUAGAAGAGCAAGUUUGUCUUCCAGGAAGUUUAGAUGUGAGUCAUUCACGAGGGGGCCUCCUCCUUACCCCAGAUAAGGGAGGCAGUGUGACAUGGUGGCCUCACAGCAGCAGGGGGACUCACCGUCAUCAUGUCAUCACACUUCAUGUCGGGCUCAUCGUCAUCUUCACUUUUGUUGUAGAACUUACGGAAGAAGUUGAAGGCCACCACCGUGUAGAGGUAAACCACCACUGCCAAGAGACCGACGGUCAGAACCAGCUGUGGGGGAGAGCACAGAGGAAAGGAGAAGGAAGUGGGAUCUCCAUCGUGGAGGUUCAGGAAUGACUCAAAACAGAGGAACUGGAAGGCCCAGCAAGGAGUGAAAGGGGCGUGGGUGAGAGGCUGGUGAUGGAGGACGUUAUACUGUGUGCAGAGAGGGACAGACAUGGGUUGAACAGAGUAAUGAUGCGGUGUUAGGGGCUGAAUCCUGUUUCCCCAGUCCAUAUGCAGAAGCCCUAACCAGCACAUCCCAGGAAUAUGACAGUUCUGGAGGCAGAGCCUUUAAAGAGGUGAUUAAGCUAGAAGUAGGCUGGGUCCGAAUCCAACUUCACUAGUGUCCUUAGAAGAAAAGAUAGGACACCAGAUGCAUGCACACACAGAGGGACAGUCACGUAAAAAGGCCUCCACCAGAGGGCAGCUGUUCACAAACCAAGAAGAGCAGUCUCAGAGGACACCAACCCUGUCAGGACCUUGAUAACAGACGUCCCACCUCCAGAAGUAGACACAGGCUUCCAUCCCCUUGGUGGCAGUUUGUUAUGGCAGCCCUGGCAGAGUAACAGUGUACUGGCUUGGGCAUCUCUAAACUAUAAAAGUACUCAAGCAUUGAGGAGUGAGGGCGUUAUGAGAAGAUCACAUUGUUAUAGAGCUAGCAGUUCCCAGGGCUGGACAACACAGCUCCCACUCUAAUGCAGCUUCUAAAACACCACAGGUUCCUUGGACCCGAGUGUCCCUGGUGAUGCUGCCUUAUAAAUAACGAGGAACAGGAUGACCCUCAUGGCUUUGAUGUUACUAUAAGAAUUACGAUGGCUCAGCCAGCUAACAUUUUUUCACUGAGAAGUGUGCCCAAGCCCUUUGUGGGGUCACAGGGCACGAUCACUUCCAGGCUUUAGUAGGCAAGGGUUCAGCGGCAUGCAUGAGGGGUCAAGGGACCUGCACAUGUGGCCUAUACCAGGGACUUGGUACCAGGCUGAAGACAAGGAGAUCAGCAAGAUACAUUUGGUGCCUUUGAGGAGCUACACAAAAGGGAGUGGGCAUGACUGCUAAGUGCCACAGUAGAUACAUAUUCGGUGGCCUCUGGAGGAAGGAGUAGUUAUUCAGGCCUCGGAUGGAGGACUUCACAGAAAGCAACAGGUUUAGGAAACAUGAGAAAGAAUUUGGACUUUACACCAAAGGAAAGCAAAGGGCUCGAGUCUAAUCUCUGCCACUUAGCAGCUGUGUGGUCUUACAUAAGCUGCUCAGCUUCUCUGAGCCUCAGUUCUAUUAUCUGUCAAAUGCGCGUAACGCUGACCUGACAAGGUAGUUGUGAGACUGUCCCAGUAUCUGAGACACAGUACAGGCCUGGCACAUUUUCAUUUCCUUCUUUGUUUUCCUCUUCUGCAUGUAAGUCUCAUACAUAAGGAAUGUACUUUGUGAGAAAUGAAAGGCUAAGCAGUUUGAAUUUGUAGACAA